rnacentral:rRNA from 1 species
UACCAGCACCCCGAGUGGUCGGGACGAUUAUUGGGCCUAAAGCAUCCGUAGCCGGCCUUACAAGUCCUCCGUUAAAUCCAGCUGCUUAACAGAUGGGCUGCGGAGGAUACUAUAAGACUAGGAGGCAGGAGAGGCAAGCGGUACUCAGUGGGUAGGGGUAAAAAUCCGUUGAUCCAUUGAAAAACCACCAGUGGCGAAGGCGGCUUGCCAGAAUGCGCUCGACGGUGAGGGAUGAAAGCUGGGGGGAGCAAACCGG